rnacentral:rRNA from 1 species
GACGAACGCUGGCGGCGUGCCUAAUACAUGCAAGUCGAGCGGACUGAUUAAGAGCUUGCUCUUAUGGCGUUAGCGGCGGACGGGUGAGUAACGCGUGGGCAACCUGCCCUGUAGAUCGGGAUAACACCGAGAAAUCGGUGCUAAUACCGGGUAAUAUCUGAGAUCACAUGAUCUUAGGUUAAAAGAUGGCUCCGGCUAUCACUACAGGAUGGGCCCGCGGCGCAUUAGCUAGUUGGUAAGGUAAUGGCUUACCAAGGCGACGAUGCGUAGCCGACCUGAGAGGGUGAUCGGCCACACUGGGACUGAGACACGGCCCAGACUCCUACGGGAGGCAGCAGUAGGGAAUCUUCCGCAAUGGACGAAAGUCUGACGGAGCAACGCCGCGUGAGUGAUGAAGGGUUUCGGCUCGUAAAGCUCUGUUGUUAGGGAAGAAACAGUACCGAACGAACUAGGUCGGUACCUUGACGGUACCUAACCAGAAAGCCACGGCUAACUACGUG